rnacentral:rRNA from 1 species
UACGUAGGGACCAAGCGUUGUUCGGAUUUACUGGGCGUAAAGGGCGCGUAGGCGGCAAUUCAAGUCAGCUGUGAAAUCUCCGGGCUUAACUCGGAACGGUCAGCUGAUACUGCUUUGCUAGAGUGCAGAAGGGGCAAUCGGAAUUCUUGGUGUAGCGGUGAAAUGCGUAGAUACCAAGAGGAACACCUGAGGUGAAGACGGGUUGCUGGGCUGACACUGACGCUGAGGCGCGAAAGCUAGGGUAGCAAACGGG